CCAGAUAAUAGUAGCCAUAGGAAUGGGCAUGGGCCAUCUGUAUGUGGUCUGGGAACAUUUUGAAGUUUGUGGAGUCGUUUCCUUCUUGUUAUAAAUCAAAUCAACAACGAAAUUCUCUUACCAGAAGACAUUUGCCUAACUCUGCUCUCCUGCCUGCCUCUCCUAGGUCAAUGAUGAAACUAUCAGCUAGUCCAACUUCCUCAAAGCAGCUGUUUCAAAUGGCAUCAUCAAAAGGAGAAAGGACCUCCACAUUCAUGUCAGCUGCAAGAUGCUCCGGAACACCUGGGUCAACACCAUGUACAUCACUAAUGACAUCAUUGAGGUCCAGGAAAUCCAGUGCAUAAGGGAUGAAACCUUUCAAGUCUACUCCCAACCAUCUCUCCGGAUUGUCCAAAUGAAAUUCAAAUCCUUCCACUUCCCUCAGUGUAUCUGCAAUGUAAACUGGUGGUGUGCAGAGUGUAUGACUACUCUUCCAGGUGCUACAGAGGCUGUGUGGUGAGAUCCAAGAGAGAUGUGGGCCCCUACCAGGAAAAAGUGGAUGUAAUCCUGAGACCUAUCCAGCAGCAGAUUCCCCCUGAGGAGAAGAGGAGCCUGGGUAGGUCACCCUCGGAUGACCCUGCUGCUCGCUAAAGCCCAGCCCUAUGACACUCAUGGAAUUAGGAUGCUUCUGUUGGUGUUAUGUUACAGCCCAAAAUGAAUACCUACUACGUGCCAGGCAUGCUGUGCUAUGCCUGGGCAGACAGUUCUGACCCAGAAGGCAUAUAGACCUGAGGCUUUAUCCUCUGCUUCUCAUGCAUACAAUGAAAAUGCUAUUCCUUACCUAUACUACUGCUGAGAGGGUUCAAUAAAGUAAUGUUAAUUGAACUGCCUUGACC
rnacentral:lncRNA from 1 species